AACGAACGCUGGCGGCAUGCCUAACACAUGCAAGUCGAACGAGACCUUCGGGUCUAGUGGCGCACGGGUGCGUAACGCGUGGGAACCUGCCCUUAGGUUCGGAAUAACUCCCCGAAAGGGGUGCUAAUACCGGAUAAUGUCUUCGGACCAAAGAUUUAUCGCCUUUGGAUGGGCCCGCGUUGGAUUAGCUAGUUGCUAGGGUAAAAGCCUACCAAGGCGACGAUCCAUAGCUGGUCUGAGAGGAUGAUCAGCCACACUGGGACUGAGACACGGCCCAGACUCCUACGGGAGGCAGCAGUGGGGGAUAUUGGACAAUGGGCGAAAGCCUGAUCCAGCAAUGCCGCGUGAGUGAUGAAGGCCUUAGGGUUGUAAAGCUCUUUUACCCGGGAUGAUAAUGACAGUACCGGGAGAAUAAGCACCGGCUAACUCCGUG
rnacentral:rRNA from 1 species